GCAGUGGUGGUUCUGGGGUAGAAUUCUCAUCUUCCACGUGAGAUACCAGGGUUUGAUUCCCAGCCAAUGCA
rnacentral:tRNA from 1 species